CCUACGGGAGGCUGCAGUGAGGAAUAUUGGUCAAUGGACGAGAGUCUGAACCAGCCAAGUAGCGUGAAGGAUGACUGCCCUAUGGGUUGUAAACUUCUUUUAUAUGGGAAUAAAAUGUUCCACGUGUGGGAUUUUGUAUGUACCAUAUGAAUAAGGAUCGGCUAAAUCCGUGCCAGCAGCCGAGGUAAUACGGAGGAUCCGAGCGUUAUCCGGAUUUAUUGGGUUUAAAGGGAGCGUAGGUGGAUUGUUAAGUCAGUUGUGAAAGUUUGCGGCUCAACCGUAAAAUUGCAGUUGAAACUGGCAGUCUUGAGUACAGUAGAGGUGGGCGGAAUUCGUGGUGUAGCGGUGAAAUGCUUAGAUAUCACGAAGAACUCCGAUUGCGAAGGCAGUUCACUGGACUGCAACUGACACUGAGGCUCGAAAGUGUGGGUAUCAAACAGGAUUAGAUACCCGGGUAGUC
rnacentral:rRNA from 1 species